AUGUCCUUUUGGGUUAAAUAAAAGGUCUAAUCUGCCCACUGUAUUUAUAAAGGGCUGCAGUAUUAUGACUGUACAAAGGUAGCAUAAUCAUUAGUUUUUUGAUUGAGGACUUGUAUGAACGAUUGGACGAGAAAUUGCUGUCUCAAAAGUAUGAGGUGAAAUUUUCUUUAGUGUGAAAAGACACUAAUAAGCUAAGGGGACAAGAAGACCCUUUUAAGCUUUAUUUGAUUGGAUAAGAAUUAUUAAAAUAAUAAUUUAUUUUUAAUUGAUUAAAUUUUACUGGGGCGGUGAAUAAUAAACAUUAUUAAUAAUAGAUGAUUUAAUUAGGUGGAAAUAAGAGCGUGUAUUACGGAUUAUGAGAAAAAGUUACUAAAGGGAUAACAGCGUAAUAUUUUUUAGAGUUCAUAUUGACAAAAGUGUUUGCGA
rnacentral:rRNA from 1 species